rnacentral:lncRNA from 1 species
AUCGAAUGAGGCCUUAGAGUCAGGCCACUUAGCUUUGAACCACCAAGCAACCCUAGCAAAUAUAACAUCAAUGACUUGAAACCUAUCCCAUAUUUUGUUAUUGAAGAUCAUCUCAUUUCUGUGAGACCAAAUGGACUAAACAACAACAAAGAAUAGCAUAUAUAGACCAGAUCUUGUUGCAACAGUUGGGGUCAAUAGCACGAAUCCAUGCCAUGCAAAACAUAUCAGGGUUGUUUGGGGCCACCUACAGGAUCUCUCAUAACGAAGCACAAUGC